rnacentral:rRNA from 1 species
AUGAACGCUGGCGGCGUGCCUAAUACCUGCAAGUCGAGCGAACAGACGAGGAGCUUGCUCCUCUGACGUUAGCGGCGGACGGGUGAGUAACACGUGGAUAACCUACCUAUAAGACUGGGAUAACUUCGGGAAACCGGAGCUAAUACCGGAUAAUAUAUUGAACCGCAUGGUUCAAUAGUGAAAGACGGUUUUGCUGUCACUUAUAGAUGGAUCCGCGCCGCAUUAGCUAGUUGGGAAGGUAACGGCUUACCAAGGCAACGAUGCGUAGCCGACCUGAGAGGGUGAUCGGCCACACUGGAACUGAGACACGGUCCAGACUCCUACGGGAGGCAGCAGUAGGGAAUCUUCCGCAAUGGGCGAAAGCCUGACGGAGCAACGCCGCGUGAGUGAUGAAGGUCUUCGGAUCGUAAAACUCUGUUAUUAGGGAAGAACAAAUGUGUAAGUAACUAUGCACGUCUUGACGGUACCUAAUCAGAAAGCCACGGCUAACUACGUG